CUUGCUGCGCCCGCGGCGAGGCAACUAGGGCACAACUGAAGCAAAUCGUCUCUCAUCUCUAGAUUUCUGAAGAAAAUGAUCAGGGGCAAAAGGGGCAAAACUGUGCUAAAAACUAAAGAGAAAAAGGACCCCCCCAAAAAAAACAGUACUCCUCAGCGCAUUCACCACCUACGUAAACGGUUGUUGGUGAACCGGACAGGUGGUGCAAUAAACCAGCCCAACAACAGGAAAGCAGUGGCUCCGCCUUUACAUGAUGUCAUUACCGAAGUUCACAGUGAGCACGGCAGUGUUCCAGGCCUCCAUGACCGGAUAGAAUAACAAAGGCUUAGAGAAGGGAAAAAAACGCGAGCAAGUAACAACAAUGCGUGGGUGAAAUCAGAAGUAAAAUCCAAAAAGCCCAGGAUCUAACACAUUAUUCCAUUCUUCAGCAAAUUGGAAAAACAGGUGACUGAGACACUGGCAAAAAGCAGGAGCUUACAUGAACAGAGGUCAGGAGCUUGUAAGAUUAGAAGGCUCCACAAUAGACGUGUAAAUCCUAUUGCAUUAACUUGGAGCUUUAAUAGUAAACAAGCGAGUAUCAGACCUGGGAGUGCCUGGGAUCUCUGCCCGUACUCAUCAUCUAGUCUUGGGUUGUCCGCAGGGUCCCGAAGUCACCAGGUGCCGCGAAAGCUCAUAGGAGAGAGAGACAGGGGGUAUCCGAGGGGCUGCCUGAGGAUGUCUGGAGAUGUCUGGAGGUAUCUGGGGGGUGUCUGUGGAUGUCUGGAGAUGUCUGGAGGUAUCUGGGGGAUGUCUGUGGAUGUCUGGAGAUGUCUGGAGGUAUCUGGGGGGUGUCUGUGGAUGUCUGGAGAUGUCUGGAGGUAUCUGGGGGGUGUCUGUGGAUGUCUGGAGAUGUCUGGAGGUAUCUGGGGGAUGUCUGUGGAUGUCUGGAGAUGUC
ensembl:lncRNA